AGCAGCUGCACACCUGCACAUGCGAAAGGGCCAUCUGGAAAGCAGAUCACUACAUGAGAAAAAAAAAAAAAAGAAAAAAAAGAAAACGUAGAUGGACUAUGGGGCACUCAUAAUAGGGAGGAGACAGCAGUAAAGAGCCUGUUCCCAGGUCAGAGGCUACAAAUAGAGUUGAAAAAACUAUGCAGACUGUACAUGAGAAAUAUACUUCUGCUGCAUUGAAGACAUAUGAUUUCCAGCAGGUUGUUGAUGUUGAAGAGUACCAGUUCCAAGACUCCAUCAGGACACAAAAUCAUUGACCAUAACCCUCUGGCUGCAACCAUCCAACCAAUUUCCUUAUCCUCUGAAUUGUCCACCCCUAAAAUCCAUAUCUCUCCAAUUUAGAGAUAUGUAUGUGGCAUGAGAACAUGUCAAAGACCAUACAGAAGCUAAGGUAGGUGACAUCAGUUGCCCUCCCUUUGUCUACUGAUGCUGUCACUCCAUCAGAGAAAGCCAUUAGAUUGAUCAGACAUGAUCUGCCCUUGGUGAAGCUGUGCUGGCUGUCUCAGACCAUCUCCUCAUCUCACAUUGUGCCUUAAAAUAGCUUCCAGAAGAUUCUGCUCCAUGAUCUUCAUAGGCAUAGAUCUGAGGCUCACCAGCCUGUAGUUCCCUGGGUCUUCCUUUUUCCCACUCCAGAAAAUGGGAGUGAUGCUUGCCUCCUUCGACUCACCUGUGACUUCUUCUGCCACUGAGAAGUGUCACUUUAUUUGAUUUGUAAGAAAAGACUUAGUAAAUCUUUUCAAAUUGGUCAGAACACCACUCUCUACUGACACUUUGCACCAAAGCAUCUACACAAUUCUUGAUGUCACAAAAUGGUCAACAGUAUUUCAAGAGCCAUAUAACUGGUUGAAAGAGAUUAUUCUUUUACAUCAUUGUCUCAGAGCUUGUUGGGGACACAGAUGGACAAGUCCAAGCAAGUCCUGGGCAAGGGUUGUGAAAUCCUUUGAAAGACACAGAUGGACAAGGCCAAGGGCAACGAGAGAGAGAUAAACCACAGAUUAGUGGCCAGGAAGCAGUUUUUUGUGUGGACUUAUCUCAAGGAAGAUGGCCAUCUCAGGAGGUGCUGCACAUGACUCUUACCCAAGUGUCCAGGAAUGCCACGAUGGCAGAAGAAGGAUAAAAAGGGGACCUACAGCCAUGAGGUUUACUGGCAACAGAUUCGUCAUGAAGAAGACGAGGUUUCUGACAUGAGAAGCCUCAUGACCUGCCUCUCUCCCUCCUGGACCUGCUCUGUGCUCCACCAUGAUGCUAAAGAAGAACAAAUGUGUCUGCCAUCAGAUUCCUCACUACAGAAUUCCUGCAUGCUGACGGACUCUCCUGGGCCUGCUACCUGAGUCCUGC